AAAAGUAUUGAAACAAGCCCACAUGGGCAGAGAGAUUAUUUGGAGGGGGAGCUGAUGAGGGGUACAGACAGACAGUUUCUGAUGCAGUCGGCAAGUUCCAUUCUAGUAACAAACAAACUAGUACCGAAAAGCUAAAAUGAAAGAGAAGCAUCCAAAAUACUCCUAGGAGGUCGGGGUCCUGAAGAGCUCGAGGCAGUGCUCCUGGUCCAGGUUCCUGCUCCAGAACUUGGCGUAGUACUCGGCGUAGGUGUAG
rnacentral:lncRNA from 1 species